GCGGGUUUAACUCAGCGGUAGAGUGUCACCUUGCCAAGGUGAAAGUCGAGAGUUCGAAUCUCUUAACCCGCUCCA
rnacentral:tRNA from 3 species